UUCCGCGAAACCUAUAUGAGUAGGUAAUUUAAUUCACAUCUUAGCAGGUACAGAACUGUGAUCUCGGACAAUAUCGUCAAGUUUUUAACUUGAUGAUUUUUGUAUACAUCGGGGGAUUGUAGUGAUUUUACCGGAGAGUAUUUGCACUCGGAAGGGCAAAGAUGAAUGUUGAAUAAUCGGACAUAGUACGAUAAGGUUGUAUGUCUAAAGGGAAACAGCCCAGAACAAGAGUUAAGGUUCCAAAAUUAUUGUUGAGUGAAAUUAAGGAUGUUUUUUUUAAUACAAUCAGGAAAUAGGCUUAGAAGCGGCCAUUUUUUGAAGAUCUCGUAACAGAGCACUGAUUAAAAUUUUAGAAAAAAACACCGAAAAUUUAACGGAUACUAAACAAUAUACCGAAACCUUGUACACAUAUGUAUAAUAAUUAUUGUAUAUGUGGGGUAGCGGAA
rnacentral:ncRNA from 1 species